UCUUUAUUAUAAUCGUAUCGUGACAAAUAGUUCCAUAAUAGACUACUUUAGUACUUUCUUAUAUUUUAAACUAUUUCGAUUUGUAAUGUGAAAGAAACGUAACUAUAGAUUCUUUUUAGAUUAUUUUAUCUUUUCAUAGUCGGAGAGAAAGGUCCAAAGGGGCAGAGGGGUGGAUUAUAGAGUAUUUCCAAAUUAUCGUACUCAAAACAUUUUAUUUAUCAGCUUCAAACCCAAAGCUGUCGUAUACCCGCACAAGUAACGACACUCAGUUUAUUAAGAUAUUGAUAAAAGUGUUAAUGAGCGAUGUUUGUUUCAGAGAUUUAUGGGUCAGAAAUAAGAAACUGGAAAAAAAAUAUAUAUAAUGUGGUGAGUGCGACAGUCUGGCAACGCUGGGUGGAAGCAUGAAAGAAAACGAGGAUUAUUGUACUGGGAACUUAUGUAAUCGCGAGGGACUUCCCAGCAUGUUAUUUUUCUUUCCUUUUAUUUUUUUAAGGUAAUACGGAUAUGGAGGGGGCGGAGGGGGGAGAGGAUAUGCUUUGUGUGAUUGUAUUUACUUAAUUCACGCCAUUAUUCUUUAGUGAGUGAAGGAAAAUGAGAAUUAGUUAUUACACUUUUGAGAGGGACUUCCAAAUAUGUCGAGGCUGGUCUGGCGUAGGCUCCCGAGUGAAGGGGAGGGGUUAUAAGGGGUCAGGAUAGUUUAAGGGGUGAACCAUUAGUGUAUUCCUGUAGCCACUUUAUCUAUUCCAUUACUUGUUACGAAAGGAAAAACUAUUAUCAAUGUAUUGCUAUCCACUAUGUCAUAUUUACUUAAUUCCUCUUGUAACAGUGAGGUGAAGGGGUGAAUCUUUGGAUGAGGAGGAGGAGGUAAGGGGUAGGGGCAUAUGUGUGUUCCUAUAGUUACUUAAGUUAUUCCAUUAUUUGUUACGAAAGGAAAAACUAUUAUCAAUGUAUUGCUAUCCCUUAAGUCAUAUUUACUUCCUCUUAUAACAGUGAGAAGGGGUGAAGCUUAGGAUGAGGAGUUACUUAAAGUUAUUCCAUUAUUUGUUAAGAAAUGAGUAAUGUUAUCUCUGUACGGCCACCUAUUAUUUAGUUAUUUUUUUCCUCGUGCGGUGGUAGGGUGGAACGGAUAAGGAGUGGAUAUGUGCUUGUUCCAAUAUUUACUUCAGUUACUCCAUUAUUUAAGGGAGGGAAAACUAUCAUUGUACUGGUACUCAUUAUGCCAUCUUCUAAUACUUUCUCUUAUAAUAGUAAGGUGGAGGAGUGGAGAGGUGGACCUGUGUGUGUUGUACUUUAAUAUACUUUCUCUAAUAAGGGUGAGGUGAAGGAGUGGAGGGGAGUGGAGGUGUGGACUUGUGUGUGUUGGACUGCUACCCAUUAUUUCACCUUCACAUACUUUCUCUUAUAAUAGUACAGAGUGGAGGGGUAUGGAGGGGUGGACCAGUGUGUGUUGGACAAGGUGGGGGGAUGCACUGGACACGCCUGGAACAAACAAAUGCACACACGCAGCCUGAUGUCUUUCUUCCCCUCGAGAUAAUAAAAAAAUACAAGGUUCUGA